UGAAUUCCUAAGGGGUGGCGCAGAAAUAUAGAGAGUAUAUAAACCCUCUCUAUCGCCUGAGAUGCAUAUGGAAUGCGAACCCUUUGAACCUGAUCCGGACGAUACCGGCGUAGGAAUAGGAAAGUCGCAUUAC
rnacentral:ncRNA from 2 species